UGGGGAAUUUUGGACAAUGGGGGAAACCCUGAUCCAGCCAUCCCGCGUGUGCGAUGAAGGCCUUCGGGUUGUAAAGCACUUUUGGCAGGAAAGAAACGUCGCGGGUUAAUACCCCGCGAAACUGACGGUACCUGCAGAAUAAGCACCGGCUAACUACGUGCCAGCAGCCGCGGUAAUACGUAGGGUGCAAGCGUUAAUCGGAAUUACUGGGCGUAAAGCGUGCGCAGGCGGUUCGGAAAGAAAGAUGUGAAAUCCCAGAGCUUAACUUUGGAACUGCAUUUUUAACUACCGGGCUAGAGUGUGUCAGAGGGAGGUGGAAUUCCGCGCGUAGCAGUGAAAUGCGUAGAUAUGCGGAGGAACACCGAUGGCGAAGGCAGCCUCCUGGGAUAACACUGACGCUCAUGCACGAAAGCGUGGGGGAGCAAACAGGAUUAGAUACCCCUGGUAGUCCACGCCCUAAACGAUGUCAACUAGCUGUUGGGGCCUUCGGGCCUUGGUAGCGCAGCUAACGCGUGAAGUUGACCGCCUGGGGAGUACGGUCGCAAGAUUAAAACUUAAAGGAA
rnacentral:rRNA from 1 species